GUGUGUGUGUGUGUGUGUAUGUGUGUGUAUGUAUAUAUAUAUAUAUAUAUAUAUAUAUAUAUAUAUAUAUAUAUAUACACACAUACACACACACUG